rnacentral:rRNA from 1 species
GAUGAACGCUGGCGGCGUGCCUAAUACAUGCAAGUCGAGCGGACCAAAGAGAGCUUGCUCUCUGAUGUCAGCGGCGGACGGGUGAGUAACACGUGGGUAACCUGCCUGUAAGACGGGGAUAACUUCGGGAAACCGAAGCUAAUACCGGCUGAUAAAGAGAAACGACUGUUUCUUUUUUGAAAGUCGGCCUUGUGCUGACGCUGACAGAUGGGCACGUGGAGGAUUAGCUAGUGGGUGAGGUAACGGCUCACCAAGGCGACGAUGCGUAGCCGACCUGAGAGGGUGAUCGGCCACACUGGGACUGAGACACGGCCCAGACUCCUACGGGAGGCAGCAGUAGGGAAUCUUCGGCAAUGGACGAAAGUCUGACCGAGCAACGCCGCGUGAGCGAUGAAGGCCUUCGGGUCGUAAAGCUCUGUUGUCAGAGAAGAACAAGUACCGGAGUAACUGCCGGUGCCUUGACGGUACCUGACCAGAAAGCCACGGCUAACUACGUGCCAGCCGCCGCGGUAA